AUCGUUUCGAGAUGAGUCAAACUA
rnacentral:siRNA from 1 species